UACGAAGGGUGCAAGCGUUAAUCGGAAUUACUGGGCGUAAAGGGUGCGUAGGCGGUUGUUUAAGUCUGUCGUGAAAUCCCCGGGCUCAACCUGGGAAUGGCGAUGGAUACUGGACAGCUAGAGUGUGUCAGAGGAUGGUGGAAUUUCCGGUGUAGCGGUGAAAUGCGUAGAGAUCGGAAGGAAUAUCAGUGGCGAAGGCGGCCAUCUGGGACAACACUGACGCUGAAGCACGAAAGCGUGGGGAGCAAACAGG
rnacentral:rRNA from 1 species